GGGAGUGUGAGAUCUGGGCAACUCCAUGUUGCCAUCCCUAUAUGGGAAUUGAGCGUGGGCUCUGUGGGCCAGGAGAGCAGCUCCAUCAACCUCCCUGCUGAAGGGGGAAAGCUAUGCCCUGGGUAAGCUCCUCCAGCAGAGCAUGGAGGAGCCUCGGGUGCUAGCUGGUGGUGGGUGGGCAAGGCAGGCACCCAGCUCCCUGGCAGCAAUGGUGCAGGGGUAGAAGGCAACAGAAUCUCAUUUUCUGACUGAGGAUGUAGCAUGGGGGAUGUGGGGUCUCCCAGCCAUUUAGUAUAAAGGGCCCCCUUGUAACAGAGAGCCCAUGUGAAUGGGCUCAGGUCUGAGACCUGCUCCACUCUGUGCUCCCACCCUGCAGGCACAGGGGGAGGAAGCUGAGCCAAGCCCCGUGGGACACCUCUCAGGACAGAGGCUCUGCGGGAUGUUUGGCUGCUGAGAUGGGGCUGAAAGGGCCACUGAGGCCCAAAGCACCACAGGGACCCCAGUGGCUGCACCCAUUAGUCCAUCUACAGUGCCCAGCAUGCCAGCUCUGCUGUGCACAGCGCCCCCUGUCAGUGACUGAGUAGAAGUCCAGGGGGCCCUGCACACAGCCAGUUGCUAGCAUGGCUGAGGCUGCAAAGCCAUCUCUCUGAGGCUGGCUGGGAGUCAGAGGUUCUCGGGGGUCCCCAUGCAGUCCUGCCCAGCUGGGUGUCUCCUAGCUGCAUGGGAGGAGGGCUUUUCCACCCUGGUCUUCUGGGCAUUUUGAGGGGGGCUUUUCCACCCUGGUCUUCUGGGCAUUUUGAGGGGGUGGAGAUGAGUGGGAAGACACAAGUGACCCCAGCUGGGCAGAUUUUCCCCCCCCACACACACACACACUCUUGGUGUUUGUGUUCUCCUUUUCCACUGUCUGCCAGGGCAGCACAUGCCUAAAUGCUUCCUUAUUUGUCCUGCUGAGUGUAGUUCCCACUGGAAGCGCUCCGGGGGGUGGAGGGGUCCCGGGGGGAGGUGGGAUGGGAGUGAGGUCUCUGUGGGUGGCAGGCUGCUUCUAUCUGUGGUGUAUAUACAUUGUUGCUAGAGUGCAGCUCCCCUCUUAGUGGACAGGCCUGAUCUUGUGUGCAGGGGAGGAAGGACCAGAUGCUCUAAUGGUUAGAGUGGGAACUGGGUGCCAGGACUCCUGGGUUCUAUUCCUGGCUGUGGCUGCAGAGUGGGGUUUAGUGGCUAGAAGAAGAGCCUGCGAGCCAGGACUCCUGGGUUCUAUUCUCAAUGCUGGUUCUUAAAUUUUCUGACCUUGAAUAAAUCCUCUCCUGUCCCUCA
rnacentral:lncRNA from 1 species